ACUUGAAUAGCUUAUAUAGAGCGUGACAUUGAAGCUGUUAAGGAGAUUAAUUAAUCUUUAAGUA
rnacentral:tRNA from 1 species